rnacentral:pre_miRNA from 1 species
UUAGUACUCCCUCCGUCCCAAAAUUCUUGUCUUAGAUUUGUCUAAAUACAGAUGUAUCAAGUCACGUUUUAGUAUUAGAUACAUCCAUAUCUAGACAAAUCUAAGACAAGAAUUUUGGGACGGAGGGAGUACAAA